rnacentral:rRNA from 1 species
UACGGAGGAUGCAAGCGUUAUCCGGAAUGAUUGGGCGUAAAGCGUCCGCAGGUGGCUAUGUAAGUCUGCUGUUAAAGAGUGAGGCUCAACCUCAUAAGAGCAGUGGAAACUACAUGGCUAGAGUGCGUUCGGGGCAGAGGGAAUUCCUGGUGUAGCGGUGAAAUGCGUAGAUAUCAGGAAGAACACCGGUGGCGAAAGCGCUCUGCUAGGCCGCAACUGACGCUGAGGAGCGAAAGCGUGGGGAGCAAACAGG